rnacentral:rRNA from 1 species
UCCCAGACUCCUACGGGAGGCAGCAGUGGGGGAUAUUGGACAAUGGGGGAAACCCUGAUCCAGCGACGCCGCGUGAGUGAAGAAGUAUUUCGGUAUGUAAAGCUCUAUCAGCAGGGAAGAAAAUGACGGUACCUGAGUAAGAAGCCCCGGCUAACUACGUGCCAGCAGCCGCGGUAAUACGUAGGGGGCAAGCGUUACCCGGAUUUACUGGGUGUAAAGGGAGCGUAGACGGCAGUGCAAGUCUGGAGUGAAAGGCGGGGGCUCAACCCCCGGACUGCUCUGGAAACUGUACGGCUGGAGUGCAGGAGAGGUAAGUGGAAUUCCUAGUGUAGCGGUGAAAUGCGUAGAUAUUAGGAGGAACACCAGUGGCGAAGGCGGCUUACUGGACUGUAACUGACGUUGAGGCUCGAAAGCGUGGGGAGCAAACAGGAUUAGAUACCCCAGUA